AUUGAGGCAGGGCCCUAGAGACCACAUUCUGGGCCUUAAGAGCACAGCCUGGAGUGGGUAGUGGUCCCUCAGUUUUGGCUCUGUAAGGACAGUGGCUGUUGCAAGGAAUCAAAGCAUGGUGCACAGUGUGGGGCAAAGGUGGCAAAGCGCUGAGCUGGGCGGGUGUGGGAAGGGCGUUGGCAGUCUGCUGAGCCCAGAGGAUAGACAGUACUGGGAGAGUCAGCUCAGAAUGGGGGUAUUUGAAGUGAAUGAUCCCUCCAGGACACAGAUACAGCAGCCUAGGAAAGGGAUAACGGGGCCUUGGGGAGAAACCAUAGCAGCCAGCAUGGGCAUCAGUCCUGCAGGCAGUCUUCAGAACUUCUUUCUCCAGCUGAAGCCCAGGGGGUUGGGUGUGGAAGGGCAUCUGGCUCUUGAGGUGCUUCCUCACUCUGCAGGGUGGGAUGAAGGCAGAGGACAGCCACGCUUGCAGGGGUCAUCCCAGCUUUUCUCCCACAGCCAGAGCUCCCUACCUCUCUUCAUUCUUCUCCAGGAUGUCUGGUCAGAAACCUAGCCCUUACUUCCAGGCAGACUUCUCUCCCGAGCUUGAUUAGGUCAGAAAUGACAGGCCUCUGGAUUGCGCCACCUCAGUGACAUCUUUGGGAGCCCAGGUCUGUCUUCUUGUUCUAAUCUUCUGGUUUCUCCACCACCAGAUCACACCUCCUAAUCUUUCAAUGUCACAAGUGCCCAAUACUCCCGGCUGUCCCCAGGCUUAUUCUGAACUGCAGACGCUGUCCCCCAGUGAGCGGCAGUGUGUGGAGACAGUGGUCAACAUGGGCUACUCGUAUGAGUGUGUCCUGAGAGCCAUGAAGAAGAAAGGAGAGAAUAUCGAGCAGAUUCUCGACUAUCUCUUUGCACAUGGACAGCUCUGUGAGAAAGGCUUCGACCCUCUUUUAGUGGAAGAGGCUCUGGAAAUGCAUCAGUGUUCAGAGGAAAAGAUGAUGGAGUUUCUUCAGUUAAUGAGCAAAUUUAAGGAAAUGGGCUUUGAACUGAAAGACAUUAAGGAAGUUCUGCUCCUACACAACAAUGACCAGGACAAUGCUUUGGAAGACCUCAUGGCUCGGGCGGGAGCCAGCUGAGAUAGGCCUUGCCUAGGCCCUGCCACGGAACCACCCCUGCCAGAGGCCCUGAGCAGCCCAUCUGUGGGGAAGGAGAAGGGGUACACUUCUGGAUUUUCUUUUGGGGGUGGAAGGUCAGGUGUGGAGACGGUGCUCGCCAGGUCUCUAUGAGCCGAGGCCCUGAGCUGGGGAGAAAGUGGGAAAGAUUUGGGCAGGCUCAUGUGCCCAGAACUGUCCUGGCUCCUUCCAUAUUAAAUGUAUUUGUAUUUUGAGAAGUGUCCUUCCCACCUUGGCCCUCCAGAGAGACUUCUCUGGUCUUUCUGGGGUCUGUUUGGCCUCAACCGGAACCCACCCCAGCUGCCAGAAGGAGCUGGGGAGAAGGGGUGGGAGGGCCAGACUCAGUGCUGCUUUGGGGCUAGAUGUUUUCCUCCUCUGCAAGGGUGGACUGACCUCUAAUCCAGGUUGAGUGCAAUUGAGAGGUUCUUCCAGGGUUUUGUUUUUUUCCCCCUUCAUGUCACUUAGUGUUACACUGGUUCUGCAAUGUCUCUGAGGUGCAAAGAAUGCCCUUUCCCCUUGGGGCCCUAGUUUGCCUUUUCUGCUAGGCAAUUGCAUUACUUUCCUGCCCCAGCCUGUUUCUUUUGGUCUGGUUGAGACCACAGUCGUUUGCUACCCAGGAUUUUAGAGCCCCCUUGUUCUAGGAACAGUUGUCAUUUUAAGAAAUCAUUGGCCCCUUCCCAGUGCAUCAAGUGGGGAAGAAAAAAACAGGCGGUGAUUUGGUCACUCAGCACUAACUCCACCUCAGUUCUCCCUGGAGAACAGCCUCUCCCUCCAGCCCUUUGCUCUAGGAUGACACAGUAACACCUAGUCAUAGAAAUCCGUCUCUUUGUUUUGUAUUAUGUUGUACAUCAUUAAAGAUCUAAAUACAGAGGAUAUACAGUCUUGAUGAAUCUAAUGUAAUUUGCUAACUAUUUUCAUUCUUCAGAGAGAACUACUAAUAAAAAUCUAAAAGGU
rnacentral:lncRNA from 1 species